rnacentral:rRNA from 1 species
AUUGAACGCUGGCGGCAGGCCUAACACAUGCAAGUCGAGCGGAUGAGAAGAGCUUGCUCUUCGAUUCAGCGGCGGACGGGUGAGUAAUGCCUAGGAAUCUGCCCGGUAGUGGGGGACAACGUUUCGAAAGGAACGCUAAUACCGCAUACGUCCUACGGGAGAAAGCAGGGGACCUUCGGGCCUUGCGCUAUCAGAUGAGCCUAGGUCGGAUUAGCUAGUUGGUGAGGUAAUGGCUCACCAAGGCGACGAUCCGUAACUGGUCUGAGAGGAUGAGCAGUCACACUGGAACUGAGACACGGUCCAGACUCCUACGGGAGGCAGCAGUGGGGAAUAUUGGACAAUGGGCGAAAGCCUGAUCCAGCCAUGGCGCGUGUGUGAAGAAGGUCUUCGGAUUGUAAAGCACUUUAAGUUGGGAGGAAGGGCAGUAAGUUAAUACCUUGCUGUUUUGACGUUACCGACAGAAUAAGCACCGGCUAACUCUGUGCCAGCAGCAGCCGCCGUAA